rnacentral:rRNA from 1 species
UACGUAGGGUGCAAGCGUUGUCCGGAAUUAUUGGGCGUAAAGGGCUCGUAGGCGGUCCAUCACGUCGGGAGUGAAAAGCUGGGGCUUAACCCCAGUCCUGCUUCCGAUACGGGUGGACUAGAGGUAGGUAGGGGAGAUCGGAAUUCCUAGUGUAGCGGUGAAAUGCGCAGAUAUUAGGAGGAACACCGGUGGCGAAGGCGGAUCUCUGGGCCUUACCUGACGCUGAGGAGCGAAAGCAUGGGGAGCAAACAGG